CGUAAACAGAGGGAAGCGAGCCUGCGAGGGGGAGCGAAUCCCAAAAAUAAACGUCCCAGUUCGGAUUGUAGUCUGCAACCCGACUACAUGAAGCUGGAACCGCUAGUAAUCGCGGAUCAGAAUGCCGCGGUGAAUACGUUCCCGGGUCUUGUACACACCGCCCGUCACACCAUGGGAGUCGGAAAUGCCCGAAGUCUGUGACCGAACCGAGAGGGAGGAGCAGCCGAAGGCAGGUCGGAUGACUGGGGUGAAGUCGUAACAAGGUACC
rnacentral:rRNA from 1 species